rnacentral:lncRNA from 1 species
UAACCCAAAACAUAUACACAAAUCUCAAAUUAUAUAAUGCAAAUGGCCCCACCAAUCGGAAAAGAAUCGUACUCAGCAAUUCCGACACUUGUCACCAGAACUUUUUACAACCCAGACCGGUUUAAGAAGAGUACCAAUUUAAACCAGGUAGUUGGUACGACGUCGCUCUGAAUAAUCCAUCCCCCAACACACCACCUUGCUCCUCCACCAUCGAUGAAGACAUGUUCGUACAGUCUCCUCCUCCUCCUACGCCGUGAAACCGUUUGCUUGGAGAUACUUCCUGCCCUUCCUCCCCUACAGGCCAAUACGGAACCGGAAGAGCUCGUUUCAGAUUCGCCAUCAUCAUCAUCAUCGGUCCAGAGGAAGAUACAGGGUUCAAACCGUUACCAACAACGUCGGCAAUGGGAUUACCAUUACAGACAUUGAGAUUGACUGCAUCGGUUCCGCUGCUGCACAUCAUGCCGCUUCCGUCGUACAAACCGGGAUCAUUGUCGGAGAACAUCCCGUAACCACUGGAGAAUCUUCCCGGAAAGAAGUUCAUUGAUCUUGAGACAUUGUGGUUGAGUCCUGAAGGGAUUUUCCUGAAGAUGUAGUCGAUCAUAUCAUGAUCCUUAUCGUUGUCAACGUGUCGUCCCGCGUUGUUCUUCUUGUAGAUUCGACAUAGCACCCAGUCAUCAAGCUACGUAACAAAUAAUCAAUAAAUUGUCUAUUAAAAAAAAUCAAGAAAUGAUUAGCAAAAAAAAAAAAAUCAAGAAAUCAAGAAAUGACAUAAAUAUCAAGAAUAUUAAAGGUGGAUGAAUCUUUACCCUUAGGGAGUUUUUCUUGUUGCCGUAAUCACAUCCUGGUGGUCUAUUGUUUGGUUUGUUGUCGAUGAGACGGUACUCAUGCAUGAUCCAGUCGCUUUUAACGCCUUUUGGAGGUUUGCCACUGUAGAAGACGAGUGCCUUCUUCACGCCGACCUUUUGGUUCCCGUCUGAGGCAAGCACCGGUUUAUCAGUACCCGUAGCUUUCCAGUAACCAGACGUUGCUGCUCUGUUUGGCCUCGCUCCGUUCGGAUACUUCCGAUCCCUAGGACUGAAGAAGUACCAUUCCUGUUCUCCAAACGAUGCCUUAGCUGCAACAACAAAAAUUCCAAAAAAAAAAAGAAAAAGGUUAGAAGAUCAUACGUCACACAGAUAAAAAAAAUAAUAAAAAAUGUUAGAUCAUACGUCACACAGAUAAAAAUAAUAAUAAAAAAUGUUAGAUCGUACGUCACACAGAUAAAUGAUCUCUGGAGAAAGUGAAAACGUUUAAAGAACUCAUAAAAAAGAGAUAAAAACUUGGAUGAUGAUUACUUUUAAUCAGUUCAGCAAGUUCAGGAUGUUUCCAAAGAAGAUUGGUUUUCACUAUUUUUAUAAUAUAAUGUCUAUAUUUUAGUGUUUACACAAACAUAUACUCUAGGGCACUUCGUAGUUUCAAAAGAAGUUUGGAUAAAGCAAGUCAUGGGCGUGACAUAAGAGAUAAAGUCUAUAUCAUCAACCAGAAUAACAUCUAGUAUGAAACAAUCAUAAGGAUAAAAAGUAUAUCAUAUUCUAUUAAAAUAACAAUUUAAAUUCAAAUCCAGUUAAAUAUACUGUUUAAUGUUAAGAUAAUUACAUUAGUUUAGGGGAUUUUUGGGGAUAAAUACACAAUCCUUUUAACUAUAGUAAAAUUGAAUUGGUAAGUGAAGAAAACUCACAGUUACACAACUAUUUUUUUUUUUUCAAUCAUUUCCUUUACAAGUAAAUACACUCUCAAAAUAUCAUUGAGAACACUAUAUAUGCAUCUACACAAUCAAUAUAUAAACAUCUAAGUAUAUGUAAUCUUUACAUUGCAACAUUUAAAUUAAAGAAAACUGUAUAUUCUUUUGUUUCUAUAUGAUUUUUGCCUCACUUCUGCCACUCUCUUCCUCUAACCCCUAUGCCCCAAUUAAUUAACCCAAAACAUAUACACAAAUCUCAAAUUAUAUAAUGCAAAUGGCCCCACCAAUCGGAAAAGAAUCGUACUCAGCAAUUCCGACACUUGUCACCAGAACUUUUUACAACCCAGACCGGUUUAAGAAGAGUACCAAUUUAAACCAGGUAGUUGGUACGACGUCGCUCUGAAUAAUCCAUCCCCCAACACACCACCUUGCUCCUCCACCAUCGAUGAAGACAUGUUCGUACAGUCUCCUCCUCCUCCUACGCCGUGAAACCGUUUGCUUGGAGAUACUUCCUGCCCUUCCUCCCCU